rnacentral:misc_RNA from 1 species
UAAACCCUAAUUGUGGGCAAGGGUGUAGGAAACUCGAAGAUUGAUGUAACACAAACAGUAACAUUGUCUAGAAUACACUACAGAAUUGACCCAGAAAUACAAAGACCAACCUAACAAUCUAACAAUCUAACCAGCAAGGAUUUAUAAUGCACUGACUCAUUUCACUAAAACGUACCAUAAAUUCACAAGGAGAAAGUGACUAAUUUAAACAAACAAAUCUAUAUUAAGUGAAAAAAAU